CCUACGGGUGGCAGCAGUGAGGAAUAUUGGUCAAUGGACGUGAGUCUGAACCAGCCAAGUAGCGUGAGGGAUGACUGCUCUAUGGGUUGUAAACUUCUUUUAUAUGGGAAUAAAGUGUUUCACGUGUGGUAUUUUGUAUGUACCUUAUGAAUAAGGAUCGGCUAACUCCGUGCCAGCAGCCGCGGUAAUACGGAGGAUCCGAGCGUUAUCCGGAUUUAUUGGGUUUAAAGGGAGCGUAGGUGGAUUUUUAAGUCAGUUGUGAAAGUUUGGGGCUCAACCGUAAAAUUGCCAUUGAUACUGGGAGUCUUGAGUACAGUUGAGGUAGGCGGAAUGCGUGGUGUAGCGGUGAAAUGCUUAGAUAUCACGCAGAACUCCGAUUGCGAAGGCAGCUUACUAAGCUGCCACUGACAGUGAUGCUCGAAAGUGUGGGUAUCAAACAGGAUUAGAUACCCGAGUAGUC
rnacentral:rRNA from 1 species